rnacentral:rRNA from 1 species
GAUGAACGCUGGCGGCGUGCCUAAUACAUGCAAGUCGAGCGAACGGACGAGAAGCUUGCUUCUCUGAUGUUAGCGGCGGACGGGUGAGUAACACGUGGAUAACCUACCUAUAAGACUGGGAUAACUUCGGGAAACCGGAGCUAAUACCGGAUAAUAUUUUGAACCGCAUGGUUCAAAAGUGAAAGACGGUCUUGCUGUCACUUAUAGAUGGAUCCGCGCUGCAUUAGCUAGUUGGUAAGGUAACGGCUUACCAAGGCAACGAUGCAUAGCCGACCUGAGAGGGUGAUCGGCCACACUGGAACUGAGACACGGUCCAGACUCCUACGGGAGGCAGCAGUAGGGAAUCUUCCGCAAUGGGCGAAAGCCUGACGGAGCAACGCAGCGUGAGUGAUGAAGGUAUUCGGAUCGUAAAACUCUGUUAUUAGGGAAGAACAUAUGUGUAAGUAACUGUGCACAUAUUGACGGUACCUAAUAAGAAAGCCACGGCUAACUACGUG